GCGGCAGGCUUAACACAUGCAAGUCGAGGGGCAGCAUAAUGAAGUAGCAAUACGGAAUUGAUGGCGACCGGCGCACGGGUGCGUAACGCGUAUGCAACCUACCCAUAACAGGGGGAUAACACUGAGAAAUUGGUACUAAUACCCCAUAAUAUUUUAAAAGGCAUCUUUUAGAUUUGAAAGUUCAGGCGGUUAUGGAUGGGCAUGCGUUGUAUUAGCUAGAUGGUGAGGUAACGGCUCACCAUGGCGACGAUACAUAGGGGGACUGAGAGGUUAACCCCCCACACUGGUACUGAGACACGGACCAGACUCCUACGGGAGGCAGCAGCGAGGAAUAUUGGUCAAUGGACGCAAGUCUGAACCAGCCAUGCCGCGUGCAGGACGACGGCUCUAUGAGUUGUAAACUGCUUUUGUACAAGGGUAAACCCUGGGACGUGUCCCAGGCUGAAAGUACUGUACGAAUAAGGAUCGGCUAACUCCGUG
rnacentral:rRNA from 1 species